AUAGCCCAGGGAAACCUGGAUUAAGUACCGGAUGAGACGGGACCCGCGAUGGCGGGACCCGGGAAAGGCGCUGGCGGCGCCGCCGGGGGAUGAGUCUGCGUCCCAUUAGCUAGACGGCGGGGUAACGGCCCACCGUGGCGACGAUGGGUAGCCGGCCUGAGAGGGUGGACGGCCACAUUGGAACUGAGACACGGUCCAGACUCCUACGGGAGGCAGCAGCUAAGAAUCUUCCGCAAGUGGGCGAAAGCCUGACGGAAGCGACGCCGCGUGAACGAAGAAGGCCGUGAGGUUGUAAAGGUUCUUUUCGGGAGGGGGAACAACCGUGGCAGGGAAUGGCCGCGGGAUGUACGUGAAUCCCGGAAUAAGCCCCGGCUAACUACGUGCCAGCCGCCGC
rnacentral:rRNA from 1 species